UACGUAGGGCGCGAGCGUUGUCCGGAAUUAUUGGGCGUAAAGAGCUCGUAGGUGGCUUGUUGCGUCUGCCGUGAAAGCCCGUGGCUUAACUACGGGUCUGCGGUGGAUACGGGCAGGCUAGAGGCUGGUAGGGGCAAGCGGAAUUCCUGGUGUAGCGGUGAAAUGCGCAGAUAUCAGGAGGAACACCGGUGGCGAAGGCGGCAUUCUGGACCAAUACUGACGCUGAGGAGCGAAAGCCAGGGGAGCAAACGGG
rnacentral:rRNA from 1 species